rnacentral:rRNA from 1 species
GACGAACGCUGGCGGCGCGCUUAACACAUGCAAGUCGAGCGAGAACCAGGGCUUCGGCCCUGGGGACAGCGGCGAACGGGUGAGUAACACGUGGGUAACCCACCCUCGGCACCGGAAUAGCCCGGGGAAACCCGGAUUAAUGCCGGAUGGCCCGCCGGCCCUGCGGGGCUGGUGGAAAAGGUAGCUUCGGCCUCCGGCCGAGGACGAGCCCGCGACGGAUUAGCUUGUUGGUGGGGUAACGGCCUACCAAGGCUGCGAUCCGUAGCUGGUCUGAGAGGACGAUCAGCCACACUGGGACUGAGACACGGCCCAGACUCCUACGGGAGGCAGCAGUGGGGAAUCUUGCGCAAUGGGCGAAAGCCUGACGCAGCGACGCCGCGUGAGGGAAGAAGGCCUUCGGGUUGUAAACCUCUUUCAGGAGGGACGAAGCCACUCGGGUUAAUAGCCCAGAGGGUGACGGUACCUCCAGAAGAAGCCCCGGCUAACUACGUGCCAGCAGCCGCCGUAAAAC